UCUCCGUUGGUGAACCAGCGGAGGGAUCAUUACAGAGUCUACGCACUCCCAAACCUUUGUGAACAUACCUACGUUGCUUCGGCGGUCGUGCCUGGAGCGCCCCCGUGGCGUUCCCGGGUCCGCCGCCGGGGACCUAUAUUCUUGAAUUUAUAACGGAUUUCUGAGUAACAAAACAAAAUAAAUAAAAACUUUCAGCAACGGAUCUCUUGGCUCUG
rnacentral:misc_RNA from 1 species